UCAUGGAUGAACGCUAGCGGGCAGGCCUUAAUACAUGCAAGGUCGAGGGGGCAGCACAGGUAGCAAUACUGGGUGGCGACCGGCAAACGGGUGCGGAACACGUACGCAACCUUCCUUUAAGUGGGGAAUAGCCCAGAGAAAUUUGGAUUAAUACCCCGUAAUAUCAUGGUGAGGCAUCUCAUUAUGAUUAAAGCUCCGGCGCUUAAAGAUGGGCGUGCGUCUGAUUAGGUAGUUGGUGAGGUAACGGCUCACCAAGCCGACGAUCAGUAACUGGCGUGAGAGCGCGACCAGUCACACGGGCACUGAGACACGGGCCCGACUCCUACGGGAGGCAGCAGUAAGGAAUAUUGGUCAAUGGACGCAAGUCUGAACCAGCCAUGCCGCGUGGAGGAUGAAGGUCCUCUGGAUUGUAAACUUCUUUUAUCUGGGAAGAAAUGUAUUUUUUCUAAAGUACUUGACGGUACCAGAUGAAUAAGCACCGGCUAACUCCGUGCCAGCAGCCGCGGUAAUACGGAGGGUGCAAGCGUUAUCCGGAUUCACUGGGUUUAAAGGGUGCGUAGGCGGAUUUUUAAGUCCGUGGUGAAAUCUCCGAGCUUAACUCGGAAACUGCCAUGGAUACUAUGAGUCUUGAAUGUUGUGGAGGUUUGCGGAAUAUGUCAUGUAGCGGUGAAAUGCUUAGAUAUGACAUAGAACACCGAUUGCGAAGGCAGCAGGCUACACAAAUAUUGACGCUGAGGCACGAAAGCGUGGGGAUCAAACAGGAUUAGAUACCCUGGUAGUCCACGCCCUAAACGAUGAUUACUCGACAUUUGCGAUACACAGCAAGUGUCUGAGCG
rnacentral:rRNA from 1 species